rnacentral:lncRNA from 1 species
GUGACAAGUGUUUCUAACUCAUCUAAUUUACAAUAGGUUUACUAUAGUCUGUUAUAUUAAUGGUUAUAUUAGAAUACAUUUUAAGGUUGUCAAAGUUAAAAGCGGUAUUAAGGUUGUCACUGUUAAAAAUUAGACGAGUAAUAUUGAGAAGUGGAAUGUAGAUAAUUCUGAUCCUUCUAUUGGUUGAUUAUUCGUCGAUCUAUUGGUAAUGCCUCAGGGCUUCUGUAGGGGGAUUGCAUGCGCGCGCUUCUCUUCCUCAUUCAAUACAGACGAGUGAAGGCGAGAGCUGCGUCAUGUGUGUUUCUUAAACCUUCUCCCGUUACUUUUCCCCUUUUUAAGGUACUUACCAAUCACAAAGCAAUGUAGAUAAUAACAUAUGUUAAUAAUGCAUUUCGUUAUGGUGUUAUGGUUUUAUAUGGGUAAAAUAGAGACUUUUGCGUUAUUUAAAGAGUUUCGUGCUAACUGCAAAGAUGUGUAACUUUAUGCUAGCAGUUGGAGACCUCGUGGCUCCGUCGUGACCGAGUCUCGACAUAUAUGAGUGUGUACUGUGUCGUUUGUGUUUAAGCUAGUUACUACUACAUACAUGUACACAUAUUUCUGCUGUAAAGUUAUUUUGUAUUUAUCACUACAAGGGUGAAUCCAUGUGAUGCUGAGAUACUGAAUACUGCUGGAUGCUGUUAAAAGUACAAUUCAUUUUUGUGUUACUUGAGAACUCAUUUAAAAAGGAGUAUUAAAAUGUAUUUUGAUAACUUUAAAACAAUUAACAUUUUAUAUGGUAAUUAAGUUAAAAAAAGAUAAUUUAGAGAGCAUUAAAAAUGUCGUGACUGGUUGAUGAGUGCACAAAUGUUGAAAUGUAUGUUUUCUUGUAUACAUUGUUCAAAAGCAUUCAAUACAGACGAGUGAAGGCGAGAGCUGCGUCAUGUGUGUUUCUUAAACCUUCUCCCGUUACUUUUCCCCUUUUUAAGGGUACAACAUUUUGGAGGCACCGCUGGGAUGUUUGGCUUGAGGAUCACCCCUGAGCUCAGGCACCAACGGCAGUGCAGGAAUAUCGACCAGCAUUCAGCCCUGGGCGGAUGGGAGAGACAGCCCAGUUCCAGCAGAGGUUUGCACCACAGAGGUUUUACCCAGCACGACGCCCUCAGCCAAGGUGUCUCUCCUGUACUCAAGCAGGUGAGGAGUACUGUCAGCACUGCUUUAGAUGUGGAAGCAGUGAACACUUCAGAGCAGGUUGUAAAGCACAGAGACCAGUGGAGCCCGCUCGGAGAAUCCCUUUAAACUAAGAGAGGUUGCCCCCUUGGGACAUGGAGCAACCAGUGAUAUCGAUAAGUCCCAUUUUUGUGCAGGCUGUAAAGAAGAGAAAGGAUGUAGGGAAUUAAAAUGUUGUUCAGUUUGUAAAAUCACUCUAUACUGUUAAAAAGAGUGUCAGGGAAACCAUUGGCCCACACACAAAAGACUUUGUAAACCAUAUGCAUGUUCAGUUAUCAAGAGGCAAGCAACUCAGUCACAAGAUAAAGUAAAGUGCAAGGAAAAGCUGGGUCCAGAGAAAAUACCUACUGUAUGUGAGUUAGUGGGAAAGAAGUGUGUCAUCUGGUGUUUCCUGCACAAACAGAAAACCCAGGCACUUUGGGAUACAGGUUCCCAAGUUUGUGCUAUUGAUGAGGUAUGGAAAAACAGCCAUUUACCUGAUGUUCCUCUCAGAGACGUUUCAGAGCUAGUUGACCCUCUUGACCCUUUGCAAAUCG